rnacentral:rRNA from 1 species
UCCGUAGGCGGGCAAUUAAGUCAGAGGUGAAAUCCCACAGCUCAACUGUGGAACUGCCUUUGAUACUGGUUGUCUUGAGUUACAGUGAAGUAGAUAGAAUAUGUAGUGUAGCGGUGAAAUGCAUAGAUAUUACAUAGAAUACCGAUUGCGAAGGCAGUCUAAUAACUGUAUACUGACGCUAAUGGACGAAAGCGUGGGGAGCGAACAGGAUUAGAUACCCUGGUAGUCC